UGCUGGAUUGACAAUUUCCGUAGGGUGACCUGCGGAAGGAUCAUUG
rnacentral:rRNA from 1 species